UCCUUCAUGGGAGAUGAUUGAAAGAUGGUUUCGGCUAUCACUUACAGAUGGGCCCGCGGUGCAUUAGCUAGUUGGUGAGGUAACGGCUCACCAAGGCAACGAUGCAUAGCCGACCUGAGAGGGUGAUCGGCCACACUGGGACUGAGACACGGCCCAGACUCCUACGGGAGGCAGCAGUAGGGAAUCUUCCGCAAUGGACGAAAGUCUGACGGAGCAACGCCGCGUGAGUGAUGAAGGCUUUCGGGUCGUAAAACUCUGUUGUUAGGGAAGAACAAGUACGAGAGUAACUGCUCGUACCUUGACGGUACCUAACCAGAAAGCCACGGCUAACUACGUGCCAGCAGCCGCGGUAAUACGUAGGUGGCAAGCGUUAUCCGGAAUUAUUGGGCGUAAAGCGCGCGCAGGCGGUUUCUUAAGUCUGAUGUGAAAGCCCACGGCUCAACCGUGGAGGGUCAUUGGAAACUGGGGAACUUGAGUGCAGAAGAGAAAAGCGGAAUUCCACGUGUAGCGGUGAAAUGCGUAGAGAUGUGGAGGAACACCAGUGGCGAAGGCGGCUUUUUUGGUCUGUAACUGACGCUGAGGCGCGAAAGCGUGGGGGAGCAAACAGGGAUUAAGAUACCCCUGGUAGUCCCACGCCCGUAAAACGAUGGAGUGCUAAAGUGUUAAGAGGGGUUUCCCCCCCUUUUAGUGCUUGCAGCCUAACGCAUUUAAGCAACUCCCGCCCUGGGGGAAGUACCGGUCCGCAAGGACUUGAAAACUUCAAAAGGAAAUUUGACCGGGGGGCCCCGGCAACAAAGCCGG
rnacentral:rRNA from 1 species